UACGAAGGGGGCUAGCGUUGCUCGGAAUCACUGGGCGUAAAGGGUGCGUAGGCGGGUCUUUAAGUCAGGGGUGAAAUCCUGGGGCUCAACUCCAGAACUGCCUUUGAUACUGAGGAUCUUGAGUUCGGGAGAGGUGAGUGGAACUGCGAGUGUAGAGGUGAAAUUCGUAGAUAUUCGCAAGAACACCAGUGGCGAAGGCGGCUCACUGGCCCGGUACUGACGCUGAGGUGCGAAAGCGUGGG
rnacentral:rRNA from 1 species